rnacentral:rRNA from 1 species
AUUGAACGCUGGUGGCAGGCCUAACACAUGCAAGUCGAACGAGUGGCGGACGGGUGAGUAAUGUCUGGGAAACUGCCUGCUGGAGGGGGAUAACUACUGGAAACGGUAGCUAAUACCGCAUACCAUCGGAUGUGCCCAGUUGGGAUUAGCUAGUCGGUGGGGUAACGGCGAACCUAGGCGACGAUCCCUAGCUGGUCUGAGAGGAUGACCAUCCACACUUGAACUGAGACACGUUCCAGACUCCUACGGGAGGCAGCAGUGGGGAAUAUUGCACAAUGGGCGCAAGCCUGAUGCAGCCAUGCCGCGUGUAUGAAGAAGGCCUUCGGGUUGUAAAGUACUUUCAGCGGGGAGGCGUUACCCGCAGAAGAAGCACCGGCUAACUCCGUGCCAGCCGCCGCGGUAAUUC